UGUUUUUAAUUUCUGUUGUUUUCUAGGCAGCCUUGGAGCAUGUUCCAAGACUUGCCUCUUCAUCUUCUCUUCUCCUUCUCUUUAUAUACUCUUGUA
rnacentral:sRNA from 1 species